rnacentral:lncRNA from 1 species
AUUUUUGAAGGUUAGGCCAAGGAACUGGUAUUUUAAUAGUUGGGUUAAUUUUAUACAGAUCACUAUAAAUAUAGUGAAUGUCAAUUAUAUCUCUACAAAGUUCUACUUCCAUAUGUUGUUCCUGUAAAAAUUCUAAUUUUUCAAACAUGUCCAUCUGUUUUGUUACCGUUAGAGAACCGUUUAUAUUUUUUAUUUUUUCAUCACAAGUAUGCUCUCCAAAAAUAAUAAAGUAUUUAAUCUAUGUUUAACUAAAUUUUUCUGACGGAUUCUAACGGUAAGAACAUAUUUAAAAAUAUCAAAUUUUUAUAAAAGCAACAUACAAACGUUAAACUUCACAAAUAUAUAUUUGUUAAUUGUUAUAUUUGUGGGGAUCUCUAUGAAUUUUUUUAUUUUUUUAAUUUUUUUGAGAGAUAGGUAGCACACUAUCUGCUUCGUUUAUUUUAUUUAAAAAUAAACUUAGCUGUAAAUGUGAAUCAACUAGGAUUCGAACUUGAGUCUCGAGUAUCAACCACCAAACCCUUUGCCACUUGCUCUUGGGACGGUCGGUGAUCUCUAUCAAAUUAGUCCUUAAUAAUUU